rnacentral:rRNA from 1 species
GAUGAACGCUGGCGGCGUGCCUAAUACAUGCAAGUAGAACGCUGAAGCUUGGUGCUUGCACCGAGCGGAUGAGUUGCGAACGGGUGAGUAACGCGUAGGUAACCUGCCUGGUAGCGGGGGAUAACUAUUGGAAACGAUAGCUAAUACCGCAUAACAGUAGAUGUCGCAUGACAUUUGCUUAAAAGGUGCAAUUGCAUCACUACCAGAUGGACCUGCGUUGUAUUAGCUAGUUGGUGAGGUAACGGCUCACCAAGGCAACGAUACAUAGCCGACCUGAGAGGGUGAUCGGCCACACUGGGACUGAGACACGGCCCAGACUCCUACGGGAGGCAGCAGUAGGGAAUCCUCGGCAAUGGACGGAAGUCUGACCGAGCAACGCCGCGUGAGUGAAGAAGGUUUUCGGAUCGUAAAGCUCUGUUGUUAGAGAAGAACAAGUGCUAGAGUAACUGUUAGCGCCUUGACGG